GAUGAACGCUGGCGGCGUGCCUAAUACAUACAAGUCGAGCGAACGGACGAGAAGCUUGCUUUUCUGAUGUUAGCGGCGGACGGGUGAGUAACACGUGGAUAACCUACCUAUAAGACUGGGAUAACUUCGGGAAACCGGAGCUAAUACCGGAUAAUAUUUUGAACCGCAUGGCUCAAAAGUGAAAGACGGUCUUGCUGUCACUUAUAGAUGGAUCCGCGCUGCAUUAGCUAGUUGGUAAGGUAACGGCUUACCAAGGCAACGAUGCAUAGCCGACCUGAGAGGGUGAUCGGCCACACUGGAACUGAGACACGGUCCAGACUCCUACGGGAGGCAGCAGUAGGGAAUCUUCCGCAAUGGGCGAAAGCCUGACGGAGCAACGCCGCGUGAGUGAUGAAGGUCUUCGGAUCGUAAAACUCUGUUAUUAGGGAAGAACAUAUGUGUAAGUAACUGUGCACAUCUUGACGGUACCUAAUCAGAAAGCCACGGCUAACUACGUG
rnacentral:rRNA from 1 species